rnacentral:tRNA from 1 species
GAUUAAGUAAGCUAACCUUAAGCUAGUGGGCUCAUACCCCGAAAAUGAGAUUAAUCUCCUUAAUCA